GGGAAUUUUGCGCAAUGGGGGAAACCCUGACGCAGCAACGCCGCGUGGAGGAUGAAGUAUCUUGGUACGUAAACUCCUUUCGAUGGGGAAGAUAAUGACGGUACCCAUAGAAGAAGCCCCGGCUAACUUCGUGCCAGCAGCCGCGGUAAUACGAGGGGGGCAAGCGUUGUUCGGAUUUAUUGGGCGUAAAGGGUGCGUAGGCGGUUUGGCAAGUCUUAUGUGAAAUCUAUGGGCUCAACCCAUAGGCUGCAUGAGAAACUACCGGGCUUGAGUAUGGGAGAGGUGAGUGGAAUUUCCGGUGUAGCGGUGAAAUGCGUAGAUAUCGGAAGGAAC
rnacentral:rRNA from 1 species